rfam:Sphingobacterium sp. JB170 genome assembly, contig: Scaffold66
UCCUCUGCGAGGAGGAAUCUGAAGGAAGUCGGCGGCAAAAUCUCGGUCCGACGAAUAGAAACUACAUAUAAGGCCGCAAGUGUUGGAUGAGGUUGCCAAACAAACCGAAGUCCCAAACUGUACGGAAACACUAUGGUAAAUGUAGCGGAUAUAUGAGAUGAAAGUUAUUGUU